rnacentral:tRNA from 1 species
AGGGGUGCAGCUCAGUGGUAGAGCACCUGCUUAGUAUACUGGAGGCUCUGGGUUUGAUUCCCAGCAUCACAA